rfam:Triticum aestivum genome assembly, contig: Triticum_aestivum_CS42_TGACv1_scaffold_474568_6AL
AAUAUACUCCCUCCGUUCCGAAUUACUUGUCUUAGAUUUGUCUAGAUACGGAUGUAUCUAAUAUUAAAAUGAGUCUAGAUACAUCCGUAUUUAGACAAAUCCAAUACAACUAAUUUAGAACAGAGGGAGUAAGAG